rnacentral:rRNA from 1 species
GCCGCAUGACCUUUGUUUGAAAGAUCCGUCGGAUACGGAUGGGCUCGCGAGACAUUAGCUAGUCGGCGUGGUAACGGCACACCGAGGCGACGAUGUCUAGGGGUUCUGAGAGGAAGGUCCCCCACACUGGAACUGAGACACGGUCCAGACUCCUACGGGAGGCAGCAGUGAGGAAUAUUGGUCAAUGGGCGCAAGCCUGAACCAGCCAUGCCGCGUGAAGGAAUAAGGCCCUAUGGGUCGUAAACUUCUUUUGUGGUGGAGCAAUAAGGUGCACGUGUGCAUCGAUGAGAGUACAUCACGAAUAAGCAUCGGCUAACUCCGUGCCAGCAGCCGCGGUAAUACGGAGGAUGCAAGCGUUAUCCGGAUUUAUUGGGUUUAAAGGGUGCGUAGGCUGUUCGACAAGUCAGGGGUGAAAGCCCAGUGCCUAACACUGGAACUGCCUUUGAUACUGCCGAGCUGGAAUACGGAUGCCGUGGGAGGAAUGAGUAGUGUAGCGGUGAAAUGCAUAGAUAUUACUCAGAACACCGAUUGCGAAGGCAUCUCACGAAUCCGUCAUUGACGCUUNGGCACGAAAGCGUGG